rnacentral:lncRNA from 1 species
GUUGGCAUCAAAUCACUAUAAAUCUUCCUUAUUUAUGGUCUCUUAAUUACUCUUUUUACUUUCUUUUAUUAUUUCUUACUUACUCUUUUCAAUAUCUUGCAUAUUAUUUGUUAUUGCCACUGCAUAUCACAUAUCUUAUCUAAGGCAUAUUUUGUGACACAAUCUUUACUUCAAUUUUUUAAAGAACCCAAUUCACCCCC